GGGUCGAUGGCGUAGCUGGUUAUCGCAUCUGUCUAACAUCUCCGAUUAUUCGCAAGUUAUAUGUGCACAGAAGGUCCUCAGUUCGAACCUGGGUCGACUCA